CCCUUCUCCUGGGCUUCUGCAGAGAAUUCUUUCCGCUUUACUGUUGGCGUCCUUAGCACUUUGUUGUUUAUCCUGGUAUAGAGUGCAAAGCUGGCUUGAAACUGAACAUUUAUGCCUGCAUAUCUCCCCAAGGGUGGGAGCUCCCAGUCAGGAAUUAUGGCCUUUGUUUUUUACCUUGGUUUUCUUUCCUCCAGAAUCUUACAAGGAAAGUUCAACAUAAACGAUCUUUGAACAAAUUCCGUUUCGGAUGUAUGUAUGUGUUAGAGGUAGAGGGUGGACCAGGGAGGUGGCCGGCAUUCAGGGCCCCCAGGAGAAAAAGAUGCUGAAUACAGUCUGUCCUCCAUUCGUUCAGAGGUUCCACUUCUGCAGAACUCACAAGAGACUGCAAAGAAAAACCUUAAGAUGACCAAUUGCCUAAAACCUCCACUGAUGAAUGCUCUCUGUGAAGCAAACUGCAUUUUUGCCUUCAACUUAUUAAAAAUGUUGGCUGAAGAGGACCACUCGUGACACGUGUUCUUCUCUCUGCUGAGCCUCUCCUUUGUCCUGACCAUGGUCUUAAUGGGGGCUGAGGGGAACACGGUGGCCCAGAUGUCCCAGGCAAGAAUACUGGAGUUCGUUGCCAUUUCCUUCUCCAGGAGAUCUUCCCGACCCAGGGAUUGAACUCAGGUCUCCUGCAUUGUAGGCAGACACUUUACCAUCUGAGCCACCAGGGAAAUGUGACCCUCAAAUAUAUGGCCAGCUGACUUUCAACCAGCAUCCUGAAAGGAUAGUCUUUUCAACAAGUGGUGGUGGAACAACUAGAGAGCCGAGCACCAAAGUUGUCUGGCCAUCUGGUCGACCUUUCGGCGGUGCUUGCCUGACUACAACCAAACAUGAACACAAAUCUGGAUCGCAGGGCAGAGAAGGCAGAGCACCACCACUCCGCACUCGUUUCUCUUACCUAAGUGUUCUCCCGUCCGCGCGCGUUCAGACGCCCUUCCAGGACUACACACCGCGCCAGGCUCGCGUCUCCUUGGUACCCUCAGUGGAGGGCCCGGGCCGUUUUCUGGAUCUCAAACAUUUGGCGCCUCUGACCACCGAUCCCGUGCAGGACUAAAGCCGCGCAUUGGGCCACCUCCUUGCUCGCCCACCGCGUUCCCUGUUGUCACCCGUGGCGAGGGACUCGUGUGUGGCUCACACAACUUUCGAGCCCGUAAGGGGAACAGAAGAGACUACAGGCGGCCCCCGCGAUGACGCAGCACGGCUUCCGACGAACGCAGAGCUUGAUACGACAGCGGCCGUCGGAGAGCAGCUCCCCCGCCGCCCAGCCCUGGUGCGGACCUGGGCCCCCAGGCGAUCAGGACGUGGGGUUGGGAGAGCCUAGCCUGGG
ensembl:lncRNA